rnacentral:rRNA from 1 species
GACGAACGCUGGCGGCGUGCUUAACACAUGCAAGUCGAACGGAAAGGCCCUGCUUUUGUGGGGUGCUCGAGUGGCGAACGGGUGAGUAACACGUGAGUAACCUGCCCUUGACUUUGGGAUAACUUCAGGAAACUGGGGCUAAUACCGGAUAGGAGCUCCUGCUGCAUGGUGGGGGUUGGUAAGUUUCGGCGGUUGGGUAUAGACUCGCGGCUUAUCAGCUUGUUGGUGGGGUAGUGGCUUACCAAGGUUUUGACGGGUAGCCGGCCUGAGAGGGUGACCGGCCACAUUGGGACUGAGAUACGGCCCAGACUCCUACGGGAGGCAGCAGUGGGGAAUAUUGCAGAGUGGGCGGAAGCCUGAUGCGAAAACGCCGCGUGCGGGGUGACGGCCUUCGGGUUGUAAACCGCUUUCGACUGUGACGAAGCGUGAGUGACGGUAAUGGGUAAAGAAGCACCGGCUAACUACGUG